rnacentral:rRNA from 1 species
AUUGAACGCUGGCGGCAGGCCUAACACAUGCAAGUCGAGCGGAUGAAGGGAGCUUGCUCCUGGAUUCAGCGGCGGACGGGUGAGUAAUGCCUAGGAAUCUGCCUGGUAGUGGGGGAUAACGUCCGGAAACGGGCGCUAAUACCGCAUACGUCCUGAGGGAGAAAGUGGGGGAUCUUCGGACCUCACGCUAUCAGAGGAGCCUAGGUCGGAUUAGCUAGUUGGUGGGGUAAAGGCCUACCAAGGCGACGAUCCGUAACUGGUCUGAGAGGAUGAUCAGUCACACUGGAACUGAGACACGGUCCAGACUCCUACGGGAGGCAGCAGUGGGGAAUAUUGGACAAUGGGCGAAAGCCUGAUCCAGCCAUGCCGAGUGUGUGAAGAAGGUCUUCGGAUUGUAAAGCACUUUAAGUUGGGAGGAAGGGCAGUAAGUUAAUACCUUGCUGUUUUGACGUUACCAACAGAAUAAGCACCGGCUAACUUCGUG